CAGGGAUUGCCUCAGUAACGGCGAGUGAAGCGGCAACAGCUCAAAUUUGAAAUCUGGCUUCUUUCAGGGCCCGAGUUGUAAUUUGUAGAGGAUGCCUUCGGGUGUGGCCCCGGCCUANGUUCCUUGGAACAGGACGUCACAGAGGGUGAGAAUCCCGUAUGUGGCUGGAGGUCUAUACCCAUGUGAAGCUCCUUCGACGAGUCGAGUUGUUUGGGAAUGCAGCUCAAAAUGGGUGGUAAGUUUCAUCUAAAGCUAAAUACUGGCGGGAGACCGAUAGCGCACAAGUAGAGUGAUCGAAAGAUGAAAAGCACUUUGGAAAGAGAGUUAAAAAGUACGUGAAAUUGUUGAAAGGGAAGCGCUUGCGACCAGACUUGCCCUCGGUUGAUCAACCGGUGUUCUUCACCGGUGCACUCGGCUGGGGUCAGGCCAGCAUCAGUU
rnacentral:rRNA from 1 species